rnacentral:rRNA from 1 species
UACGUAGGGCGCAAGCGUUGUCCGGAAUUAUUGGGCGUAAAGAGCUCGUAGGCGGUUUGUCGCGUCUGUCGUGAAAGCCCACAGCUUAACUGUGGGUCUGCGGUGGAUACGGGCAGACUAGAGGCAGGUAGGGGAGAACGGAAUUCCAGGUGUAGCGGUGAAAUGCGUAGAUAUCUGGAGGAACACCGGUGGCGAAGGCGGCAUCCUGGACCAACACUGACGCUGAGUGAGCGAAAGCCAGGGGAGCAAACGGG